UACGUAGGGGGCGAGCGUUGUCCGAAGUUACUGGGCGUAAAGCGCGCGUAGGCGGUCAUUUAAGUCUGAGGUGAAAGGUUCAGCGCUCAACGUGAACAGUGCCUUGGAUACUGGGUGACUUGAGUUCGGGAGGGGGCAGUGGAAUUCCAGGUGUAGCGGUGAAAUGCGUAGAUAUGCGGAGGAACACCGAUGGCGAAGGCAAUCCCCUGGGCCUGCACUGACGCUCAUGCACGAAAGCGUGGGGAGCAAACAGG
rnacentral:rRNA from 1 species